rnacentral:rRNA from 1 species
ACGAACCGUCCAAACGUUAUUCGGAAUUACUGGGCUUAAAGGGUGCGUAGGCGGUCCGGCAAGUCGGGUGUGAAAGCCCUCAGCUCAACUGAGGAAUUGCGUCCGAAACUGCCGGGCUUGAGGGAGAUAUAGGUGAGCGGAACUUAGGGUGGAGCGGUGAAAUGCGUUGAGAUCCUAAGGAACACCAGUAGCGAAAGCGGCUCACUGGGUCUCUUCUGACGCUGAUGCACGAAAGCUAGGGGAGCGAAGAG